rnacentral:tRNA from 1 species
GACAGCUUGGCCGAGCGGUUAAGGCGAUAGACUCGAAAUCUAUUGGGGAAACCGCGCGUGAGUUCAAAUCUCACAGCUGUCG